ACGAACGCUGGCGGCGUGCUUAACACAUGCAAGUCGAGCGAACAAAACUCCUUCGGGAGUGGAGUUAGCGGCGGACGGGUGAGUAACACGUGGGUAACCUGCCUUAUAGAGGGGGAUAGCCUUCCGAAAGGAAGAUUAAUACCGCAUAAGAAGUAGAAGUCGCAUGGCUUUAGCUUUAAAGGAGCAAUCCGCUAUAAGAUGGACCCGCGGCGCAUUAGCUAGUUGGUGAGGUAACGGCUCACCAAGGCGACGAUGCGUAGCCGACCUGAGAGGGUGAUCGGCCACAUUGGAACUGAGACACGGUCCAGACUCCUACGGGAGGCAGCAGUGGGGAAUAUUGCACAAUGGGCGAAAGCCUGAUGCAGCAACGCCGCGUGGGUGAUGAAGGUUUUCGGAUCGUAAAGCCCUGUCUUUUGGGACGAUAAUGACGGUACCAAAGGAGGAAGCCACGGCUAACUACGUG
rnacentral:rRNA from 1 species